UUGACAGCACUGGAAACUGGACUCCUACUUGUCCACAGAACAGGUACAGCAUACCCAACUGCAGUUAAAAGCUUCCCCUGCAUGCUCUGUAUUUCAAUCCUGAUUUUUGAAGGAUGACUUCUGAGGGGGAGAAUAGUUCAGGACUUGUAAAAUUUAUCCAAAA
rnacentral:sRNA from 1 species